UUGUGACAGGUUAUUCUAAUGGUUUGCAACAGUGAGUCAGGUGAUGUGGUUGUAACAUUGGCUCGAUGAAUCCUGAAGGGGACAUGUGUGACCAGGUCCAUUCUGGUGCCUGCUCAAGAUGCUGACUCUACGUGGUGAAGGCAUGGAGCACACAGUGAGUGCAUCCAGGGACUGGAAUCUGAUGCUGGAGAACAGCCUUGGAUGGCUAACAGCAAUACCUCGGAUCCUCAAGUGAAGACAAAGAUGCUGGCAUGCAGGACCCGUCUCUAUGAGCUUCAGGAAACUACUGGAUCUAGGACACUGCAUCUCAGUCAUAUGGAUUCGACAAUGAGAGGAUCCUGUAACUUUUAGGUGAAGAUGUGAGCCAGAAAUCCCUGUUUGCUCAAGCUCCUUCCCCCAGACACCCCUGGUCACUGGUGCCCUGGUGUGAGAGGAGAGGCAAGAGCUCUGAAUGGUGCAUGUUGUCCUGACACCCAUUCAGAGAGCAGGCCAAGGACACCAAGCCAGGUGCGGCUGCUCUAAACCAGCUGAUUUAUGAAGAAAGCAUAAAUGUGAUCUGGGACCAGCUUGCUCCUAGGUACUAAAUA
rnacentral:lncRNA from 1 species